GGAAGGCAAUGGAAUGAACAGCCACUUUUUUUGGUGUAGCCGGACUGGCAGACCAGCGAUGUACUACCGUCUUAGGGAGGCGUCCUCAGUCCGGGGCUCCUGCGGCUCUUGCUGUCUCCCAGGCCCGCCGCACCAGUUGCUGCUGGUCACGAGGCUCCGAGCUAGACUGCAUGACGUCGGCACCAACUGCGGUCUCCUUAGGAUCCGGCACCCCGCCCAGGUAGAGGUUCAGUGGAAGCGAGAGCUGGG